ensembl:lncRNA
GGACCACAUUCUACCACAUGAGAAACCAAUGACCACAUUCUACCACAUGAGAAACCAAGGACCACAUGAGAAACCAAUGACCACAUUCUACCACAUGAGAAACCAAUGGCCACAUUCUACCACAUGAGAAACCAAUGACCACAUUCUACCACAUUCUACCACAUGAGAAACCAAUGACCACAUGAGAAACCAAUGACCACAUUCUACCACAUGAGAAACCAAUGACCACAUCCUACCACCUGGGGGCAGUGUUGUUCAUGUGUUCAUGACCUUGACCAGAGAACGAGAGGGCAAUGGAACAUGUCGGAGUUUCUCACUCUCUCACUUUACUCUUUGUUUCUUCUCUUUGGGUCAGUCACAGUGGUCAGGUAUUCUGCCACUGUGUACUCUCUGUUUAGGGACAAAUAGCAUUCUAGUUUGCUAAUUUUCUUGUUGUUAAUUUUUUCCAAUGUUUCAAGUAAUGAUCUUUUUGUUUUCUCAUGAUUUGGUUGGGUCUAAUUGUGCUGCUGUCCUGGGGCUCUGUGGGGUUUGUUUGUGUUUGUGAACAGAGCCCCCGGACCAGCUUGCUGAGGGGACUCUUCUCCAGGUUCAUCUCUCUGUAGGUGAGGGCUUUGUGGUGGAAUGUGUGGGUAUCUCUUUUAGGUGGUUGUAGAAUUUAACAGCUCUUUUCUGGAUUUUGAUAACUAGUGUGAAUAUUCCUAAUUCUGCUCUGUAUGCAUUAUCUGGGGUUUUGCAUUGCACACUAAGUAUAUAUUUUUGCAGAGUUCUGCAUGCAGAGUCUCAAUUUGGUGAAUUCUUGGUUGUUGAGCGGACCUCAAACCUCACGACCGUAAAGGGCAAUGGGCUCUAUGACCGAUUCAAGGAUAUUUAGCCAGUUUUUUAUUUAAAUUGGUAUUUUGAGUUUCUGUUCCUUUUGAUGGCGUAGAAUGCCCUUCUUACCUUGUCUCUCAGAUCGUUAACAGCUUUGUGGAAGUUACCUGUGGCGCUGAUGUUUUGGCCGAGGUACGUGUCGUUUUUGUGUGCUCUAGGGCAACGGUUUGUCGAUUGAAUUUGUAUUUGUUCUCCUGGCAACUGGACCUUUUUUGGAACACCAUUGUUUUUGUCUUACUGAUCUUUACUGUCAGGGCCCAGGUCUGUCAGGGCCCAGGUCUGUCAGGGCUCAGGUCUGUCAGGGCUCAGGUCUGUCAGGGCCCAGGUCUGUCAGGGCCCAGGUCUGUCAGGGCCCAGGUCUGUCAGGGCUCAGGUCUGUCAGGGCCCAGGUCUGUCAGGGCCCAGGUCUGUCAGGGCCCAGGUCUGUCAGGGCCCAGGUCUGUCAGGGCCCAGGUCUGUCAGGGCUCAGGUCUGUCAGGGCCCAGGUCUGUCAGGGCUCAGGUCUGUCAGGGCCCAGGUCUGUCAGGGCCCAGGUCUGAAUCUGUGCAGAAGCUCCAGAUCAUCAGCAAAGACAUUUGACUUCAGAUUCUAGUAGGGUGAGGCCGGGUGCUGCAGACUAUUCUAGAACACUCGUCAAUUCAUUGAACAAGGUGGGGAUCAAGCUGCAUCCCCCUCCCUCCCUCUUUCUUUCUUUCUUUCUUUCUUUCUCUCCUCAUCUCUCUUUCUCUCCUCACCUCUCUCUUUCUCUCCUCACCUCUCUCUUUCUCUCCUCACCUCUCUCUGUCCCUAUCCCUCUCUCUUUCUCUCCUCACCUCUCUUUCUCUCCCCACCUCUCUCAGUCUCUUUUCACCUCUAUUUCUAUCCUCACCUCUCUUUCUCUCAUCACCUCUCUGUCUCUCCUCACCUUUCUUUCUCUCCUCACCUUUCUUUCUUUCCUCACCUUUCUUUCUCUCCUCACCUCUCUUUCUCUCAUCACCUCUCUGUCUCUCCUCACCUUUCUUUCUCUCCUCACCUUUCUUUCUCUCCUCAACUUUCUUUCUCUACUCACCUCUCUCUUUCUCUCCUCACCUCUCUUUCUCUCAUCACCUAUCUUUCUCUCCUCACCUCUCUCUUUCUCUCCCCACCUCUCUCUUUCUCUCCUCACCUCUCUUUCUCUCAUCACCUCUCUUUCUCUCCUCACCUCUCUUUCUCUCCUCACCUCUCUCUCUCUCCUC